AGUGAACGCUGGCGGCGUGCCUAAUACAUGCAAGUCGAACGGAGUGGCGCACGGGUGAGUAAUAUAUAGCUACUUUGCUACUUGACGGAGGACAACAGUUAGAAAUGAGUGCUCAUACUCCAUAGCAUGGGAUGAGACUAUAACGUAUUAGCUAGUCGGUGUGGUAACGGCCUACCGAGGCGAUGACGCGUAACUGGGCUGAGAGGAAGGUCAGUGACAUUGAAACUGAGACGCAGUAGGGACUCCUACGGAAGGGAGCAAAAGGGAAUCUUGCGCAAGGGCGGGAGCGCUGAAGCAGCAACGCGGGGUGGAGGAUGACACUUUGCGAAGCGUAAACUCCUUAUGUAAAGGAAACGGUACCUAACGAAAAAGCGCCGGCUAACUCCGUGCCAGCAGCCGCGGUAAUUC
rnacentral:rRNA from 1 species